rnacentral:rRNA from 1 species
CGCCUUUGGACUAAGAUCAAAAGGUUGGGCCUGCCCGGUGUCUUGACGAUAAACGGCUGCAGUACUCUGACUGUGCAAAGGUAGCAAAAUCAAUUGUUCAUUAAUUGUGGACUGGAAUCAAUGGCUUGACGAUAAAAUGACUGUNUUUGUUCAUUAAAAUUAAAAAUUAGCAUAAAAGUGAAGAGGCUUUUAUGAAUUAGCGGGACGAGAAGACCCCGUUGAGCUUUAAUUAGGCCUUAUUUAGAUCAAAGUCACCUAAUUUUAGUUGGGGCAACUAUUUUUCUAUUAUAACACAAAAAUAUUAUAAUUAUGAUUUAAAUCCACCACGAUCCUUAACUGUUAGGACUAAUAAAAACAAGUUACCACGGGGAUAACAGCGUAAUUUUUUUUGAGAGUUCUUAUUGACAAAAAAGUUUGCGACCUCGAUGUUGGAUCAUAGCAUCCUAGGGGUGCAGCCGCUCCUAAGGGCUGGUUUGUUCAACCAUUAAAGCUAU